AGACCACAAGUUGUGGCCAAAGCAACAUGGCUCCAUCACUUUUUGCGACGGCAGGGGGACUUCUUUUACUUUUCUCCUUCUCAUCAGCACAAAUCAGAGGAGACAACCUGGCAUCCUGCACCACAAAUGAUGGCUUUGGAAAGUACUGUCCUACAACAUGUGGAGUGGCAGAUUACAUGCUGAGGUAUAUACCGGGGGUGGAGAGGGAUUUGGACGAUUUGCAAGAGCAACUUGACACAAUCGCUAAUUUGACCACGGGGGCCGAAGAAACAGCUGUCUACAUGAAAGAUACGACUAUAUUAUCUCAAAAGACCUCCCAGCCAGACAUAGACUUCAAAAGAUCAUCGAGUAUUCUGGACGAUGUUCAACGAUUUGAAAAGACCAUCGUCUCACAGGAACAGCAAAUAUUUGAACUUCAGAAUUUAGUUUCAUCCAACGAGAGGAGAAUGUCAGACUUGAAACAGCUCUCCAUUCAGCUGCAGCAGAAAUGCAGUGAGCCCUGCAAAGACUCAGUUGAGAUCCAGCCCCUCACAGGAUCAGACUGCCAGGAUAUUGCAAACAAAGGCGCCACCACCAGUGGGCUUUAUUAUGUGAAGCCAGCGAAAGCCAUUGAGCAGUUCCUGGUCUAUUGUGAGAUUGACGGCUUUGGAGGUGGCUUCACAGUAUUACAGAGGAGACGUGACGGCAGCGUGGACUUCAAGAAGGACUGGAUCCAGUACAAGCAGGGCUUCGGUUAUCUCUCACCAGAUGACACCACAGAGUUCUGGCUCGGUAACGAGAAGAUACAUCUCCUGACGGCCACUACGACCAUGCCAACUGUACUGAGGAUAGAGCUUGUUGACUGGGAGGGCAACAAAAGGCAUGCCGACUACACCAUGUUCAGAGUUGAAGGAGAGAACGACAUGUACCGUCUAACAUACGGCUACUACUUUGGCGGUGAUGCUGGAGAUGCGUUCAAUGGCUUUGAUUUUGGUGAUGAUCCCAGUGACAGGUUCUACACGUCUCACAAUGGCAUGCAGUUCAGUACCAUCGACAAGGACAAUGACAAGUAUGAUGGCCACUGCGCUAAGCAGGACGGCUCCGGCUGGUGGAUGAACAGAUGUCACGCUGCCCAUUUGAACGGCAAAUACUACCAGGGUGGCAGGUACACAGAAAAGGAUGCAGGUGAAUUUGGCUUUGACAACGGCAUUAUUUGGGUCACAUGGCACAACCGCUGGUACUCCCUGAAAGAGACCACCAUGAAGAUCAUUCCCCUCAAUCGCAUUGUAGGAGGCGGUGGACAGCAGACUGGGGUGAAACAGUUUGGCGGAUUAGAAUCUUAAAAAGUAUACAAACAUGCUUGUGGUGCAUUUAAGUGCACAACAGCACUGAAACUGCCUUGAAUUAAAUAACAUUUCUGAUAAAUUGUAUUAUUAUUGGUCAUUACUUCUUGAGUCAGUCUUACUCAGUUGCUGCCAGUUAGGAGACACAAUCUAGUAAAGUCAAUAUGGCAAGCAGCUGUUUUGUAACACAAUGUGGCGAUGGGACAGAAGCACCGUGUAAAAAGAGACGACGCUAAAAAAUAGGAUUUGUCUGAAUUUACUCUGCAAACGUUUGAGUAUUUUUGUCAUAGUACACCGAGUGACCAGAAAUAAACACCUGUAUGAAUGAACAAUACAACAGCCUUGAAAUAAAUACUUCUACUGCA